UUCGCUUCUCUGCCUUUUGACUAAGAUCAGGCAUAGUAUCUGUUCUUUGCAGUUUAAUAUCUGUCCUUCCUUUAUCUGGGGGCCAUAUAUGCACUGAUUUUUGGAACAGGAAGAUGGAAGAAGGGCUUGCUCUGUCCACUCCACACAUUGACCUGGUGUUGCAAUAGUUCAUCUGCAGAUGGACGUAAU